rnacentral:lncRNA from 1 species
CUCUGUUUUGAUCCAAAAGUUUGAUCAUCAAUGUAAAGAUAAUUUUUAGUGUUGCAGCCGUAUUAGCACCUAGCAAUCAAUUUCUUCUUACCUCGUUGAUAAUUAAGAGGUAGCUUGUUGAAAUUAUCUCUUAUCAAUAAACAACCCUAUAACUUAGCGCUAAUGAUUUAGCUUACCGAUAGUAUUAAUAACUUGAAAGACCUAAUUCUAACCAACAAACAGACGAGGUUUAUUUAAGAUAGAUCGCAUGUCC